UGAACACAUGUGCCACAUUAUCCAUCCAUCU
rnacentral:piRNA from 1 species